AACGAACGCUGGCGGCAGGCCUAACACAUGCAAGUCGAGCGCGCCCUUCGGGGUGAGCGGCGGACGGGUUAGUAACGCGUGGGAAUAUGCCCAGAUCUGCGGAAUAGCCUCUGGAAACGGAGAGUAAUACCGCAUACGCCCUUCGGGGGAAAGAUUUAUCGGAUUUGGAUUAGCCCGCGUUGGAUUAGGUAGUUGGUGGGGUAAUGGCCUACCAAGCCGACGAUCCAUAGCUGGCUUGAGAGGAUGAUCAGCAACACUGGGACUGAGACACGGCCCAGACUCCUACGGGAGGCAGCAGUGGGGAAUCUUAGACAAUGGGGGAAACCCUGAUCUAGCCAUGCCGCGUGAGUGACGAAGGCCCUAGGGUCGUAAAGCUCUUUCAGCUGUGAAGAUAAUGACGGUAGCAGCAGAAGCAACCCCGGCUAACUCCGUG
rnacentral:rRNA from 1 species